AGUAUUCGGUAGGUGAGGCUCCUACAGGGAUAUGGAUUGCUGCCGCGGAAUCGUGGAGACACGAUGAGAAGGUUUGAACAGGCUGUAUCGAAAAACAAGGUACAGCAUAACGCAAUUUCACCGCCCUGUAAAGCUAAAGCUCAAACGAAGA
rnacentral:sRNA from 1 species